rnacentral:rRNA from 1 species
UACAGGGGGGGCAAGCGUUGUUCGGAAUUACUGGGCGUAAAGGGCUCGUAGGCGCCAACUAAGUCACACGUGAAAUCCCCAGGCUUAACCUGGGAACUGCGUGUGAUACUGGAUGGCUUGAAUCCGGGAGAGGGAUGCAGAAUUCCAGGUGUAGCGGUGAAAUGCGUAGAUAUCUGGAGGAACACCGGUGGCGAAGGCGGGUCUCUGGGCCGAUACUGACGCUGAGGAGCGAAAGCUGGGUAGCGAACAGG